GACAGAGGGUGCAAACGUUGUUCGGAAUUACUGGGCGUAAAGCGUGUGUAGGCGGCUUCGUAAGUCGGAUGUGAAAGCCCCGGGCUCAACCCGGGAAGUGCACUCGAUACUGCGAAGCUUGAGUACUGGAGAGGUUGGUGGAAUUCUCGGUGUAGAGGUGAAAUUCGUAGAUAUCGAGAGGAACACCGGUGGCGAAGGCGGCCAACUGGACAGAUACUGACGCUGAGAACACGAAAGCGUGGGGAGCAAACAGG
rnacentral:rRNA from 1 species